AAGCUGAUUUCGUGUCGUGAACUCUACAGUUGCAUAUAUUUAGUCCCUCUACACAAGCAGGCACAAACGUCCUUUUGAUUUAUUUAUUUUUGAAUUAGGCCGCAUAAGUAGGCAGCAGUUACAAUCAAUGGUGAUGCAGAUUGAAGUACAGGCAAGAUUGCACCUUUAGUAACAUCAGUAUCAACUAUCAAGUAUGUUUAAUCUCAUUUAUCCGUAAGCUUAAUAUGUUGUAUACUUGUAUGGUGAUGCAGAGUUGAAGUACACUGCAAUCUGCACUGGGAUGUCCGUAAGCUUAAUCUCAUUUAUCCAUUGAAGGAGGUCGUCCUUGUGAUCACUGGAAACAUGUUUGUGAUUGAGGCACACAGCAAAAUGGCCCACACUCACCACCAUUACUCGAAGGACCAUCUCCAUAUACGAGUUGCUUUACCUGAAAGCAGAUUUCUGAAGAUAUAUAUUUUUUCGUAUUUGUUUUAUAUUUUUGGACAACUGGUUGUUUAUAUUGGUGGAGAUCCAGUGCUUUACAGAGCCCGCACAUAAAGGUAAUGUGUAUUGCUAUUUUUCUUACUUAGUAGCAUUAGAAUCUCCCCAUCUCUUUAUACGGAGGUGAUGGCGAAGGAGGAAGAAUUGUGUCAGGCCCAGCUCAAGCUAGAUGAAGAAGGGGAGGCCAGAAAGAGAGAAUCAGCAAGGCAGAAGCCUUUUGAUCUCAAGGCACGAUUCUGCAGGUUGGUGAGCUACUAACAAAGACACACCUCUAUUCUGAAUUUCUACUUGAAAAAGAUGGACCAUCAGCUACGGAAUAUGUUCGCUGUUGACAUUGGUGGUGGUGUCUUUUGGUUCAACAUGAAGUUGCUUAAGUGAAAAAUGCAGUGGAACAUGUGGAACAAAGGACGUGGUAUGGAAAGGAAAGCAAAGCAAAGCCUAAACAGUACAAUGAUGCAGGUUCAGAUUUCAUAUGUUAUCUUCCCUGCCUCAGGAAUAUGAAAUGGUUGUCUUCUAGAUUA